GCAGCCCACCACCUGACCCUCCUUGGACUCAGGGCCAGGAAGGUAUUGACACCAUGGAUGGCCAAGAAGCCCCUCCCCAGCCAGCCACCUGGCCUGGGCUUUCUCCUCCCCUACCUCCUUUGUUCCUUCCUGGAAUUUGGCUGAUAUUUGAGGUCACCUACUAGGCACCAGGCAGGCACAAGGGGGAAAACACAGAUGCACGGGUGCUAUAGGGCCAGCCAGAGGACUCAGGCCAGACUCCAGGACCCUGGCCUCCCUGGGAAGCAGCAGUGUCACAGAGAUCAGGGAGUAGCUAAAGGGGUUGUGGGGGGGAGAGGGUUGGAAAUGAGCCUGAGCGGGGAGGAGCCCUCCUGUGUCCGACCGUGGGAUUCCAACAGCGAGGUCCUCAGGUGCUGCUGCUGCCCCCUGGUGGCGCGCGGUUGCCCUACAGCUCAGGCCACGUGAUUUCCGAGAAGAGGCCCUGCCUAGAGGAGAACUGAAACUUAGGGUGGGGACUGUAGGAAGGGGCGGAGAGAUCAGGACGCUGCCUGGACGGCUGCUGAGCCAAGGGCAGCUGCAUCCUGGGACAGUCAGCGAGCCGCGCAGGGAGAAACGACACAAUUUGGCCCCAGAAUUUUGAGAAAUGUCUACAGGCAAAAGAUGGAUGGGAUCACUGGGGGCCCUUGCCAGGAUCCAACCCCGGGACAGAUGUUCCCUCCCACGGUGUUGAUUCCACUGAUGCUACCUGCGACUCUUGUCCCCAGGAUGGCAUCAGGCAGGGCACGCUGCACCCGAAAGCUGCGGAACUGGGUGGUGGAGCAAGUGGAGAGCGGGCAGUUCCCCGGGGUGUGCUGGGACGAUGCAGCCAAAACCAUGUUCCGGAUCCCCUGGAAGCACGCGGGCAAGCAGGACUUCCGGGAGGACCAGGAUGCCGCCUUCUUCAAGGCCUGGGCGAUAUUUAAGGGGAAGUACAAGGAGGGGGACACGGAAGGCCCUGCUAUCUGGAAGACUCGUCUGCGCUGUGCCCUCAACAAGAGUCCUGAAUUUGAGGAGGUUCCUGAGAAUGGCCAUAGGGACGGAGCUGAGCCCUACAAGGUGUAUCGGCUGCUUCCGCCGUCAGGGACCCUCCCCGCCCAGCUGGGGACCCAGAAAUCACCAUCAAAGCGACGUCACAGUUCUGUGUCCUCUGAGAAGGAGGAUGAGGGUACCACAAAGAACAGCAAGCUCAGUUCCUCCUUGCUUGAGGACCCCCUCAGAAAUGAGGAGGUGGGGGCCAAUGGGGGAGCAGGCCAUUCAAACUUCGGGAGCGGCGGCGGCAGCAGCCCCGAGCCUCAGGAAGGGACAGAUACAACUGAAGCCCCUUUCCAAGGAGAUCAGGUGUCACUGGAGUUUCUGCCCCCUCCAGACUCAGGCCCUGGUGCUGACCAGGCGGACCCCUCGGGUGAAGUCCAGGUGCAGCUGGUGGUUCUCUGUCCGCAGACUACUCGCUGCUGCUCACCUUCAUCUACGACGGGCGUGUGGUGGGUGAAGCCCAGGUGCAGAGCCUGGACUGCCGCCUCGUGGCCGAGCCCUCGGGCUCCCAGUACGGAAUGGAGCAGGUGGUCUUUCCCAAACCUGACCCACGAGAGCCCACCCAACGCCUGCUGAGCCAGAUCGAGAGGGGCGUCCUGGUAGCCAGCAACUCCCGGGGCCUCUUCGUGCAGCGCCUCUGCCCCAUCCCCGUCUCCUGGAAUGCGCCCCAGGCACCACCCGGUCCCGGCCCGCAUCUGCUGCCCAGCAAUGAGUGCGUGGAGCUCUUCAGAACCAACUACUUCUGCAGAGACUUGGCCAGGUACUUCCAGGGCCUGGGCCCCCCACCCAAGUUCCAGGUGACACUGAAUUUCUGGGAGGAGAGCCCCAGCCCCAACCAUACCCCAAAGAGUCUUAUCACAGUGCAGAUGGAGCAGGCCUUUGCCCGACAUUUAUUGGAGGAGACUCCAGAGGAGCAGUCAGCCACUCUGUCCCUGCUGCAGAGCCUGGGGGACCCAUCUUCGUCCUCUCCUCUCUGUUCCUCCUAUCUCCUUUGAAAGAGACUCAUUCUCCACACUGUUGACUUGCCUCCCUCGGUGAUAAUUCUCAAUGGUUGUCUCUGAUGGUUACGUCCUUGAACUGACGAUACACCUGGCUGGCAGAGAACUCAGGGGUGAUUUUUAUCCACCCCACCACCUUUUUGUUUUGUUUUGUUUUUUUGAGAUAUGCCUUCUUUCAUCUCUGAGGAACCGACCUGGGAAAGUACAAAUGGUGUGAACUCAGGGGACCUUUCCUCUUCCCCCACCCCUAAAGCCAAGCACUUUAUAUUUUCUUCUUAGAUG